rnacentral:rRNA from 1 species
AGAGUUUGAUCAUGGCUCAGGAUGAACGCUAGCGGGAGGCCUAACACAUGCAAGCUGAGCGGUAUUUGUCUUUCGGGACAGAGAGAGCGGCGUACGGGUGCGUAACACGUGUGCAACCUGCCUUUAUCAGGAGGAUAGCCUUUCGAAAGGAAGAUUAAUACUCCAUAAUAUAUUAAUUGGCAUCAAUUGAUAUUGAAAACUCCGGUGGAUAAAGACGGGCACGCGCAAGAUUAGAUAGUUGGUGAGGUAACGGCUCACCAAGUCGAUGAUCUUUAGGGGGCCUGAGAGGGUGAUCCCCCACACUGGUACUGAGACACGGACCAGACUCCUACGGGAGGCAGCAGUGAGGAAUAUUGGACAAUGGGUUAGCGCCUGAUCCAGCCAUCCCGCGUGAAGGAUUAAGGACCUAUGGUUUGUAAACUUCUUUUGUACAGGGAUAAACCUACCCUCGUGAGGGUAGCUGAAGGUACUGUACGAAUAAGCACCGGCUAACUCCGUG